CACUAGGUGGCAGCGCUAUUUCAUCUGUGGUCGACAGAACGUCAUGCUUGCUUGAGUACAAACAAGUCAAAAUAUCGCCGUAAAAUAAAUCGUCUGUAAACAUCUGGAAGCCGAAGAUCUGAAGGAGCAUGUGCAGGAAAACCAUCCAAUCUCAUCUUCAUCAUCCGCAUUUUUGGCCCUAUUCUUCGCUUCACAAAUAUAUACGCAAAAACACACAUACUUGGACUGAACUUAUGUUUUUGCCAUCCGUUGGCAUAUUUUUUGAGGUUGAGAUGAAAAGAGUGUUUUCAAAGGCUCUCUGGUUUUUGCCUAGUAAUCAAGGAUUUGAGCUGGAAACACAGAGGUCAAAGUUUGACCCCAGGUAUGGAUGACACCAUUAUUCAACUCAGUUAACCCAGCGUUGCUCCUGAGCCUGCCUGACAAUUGAGAAUGAGUUCCAGAAGAAGAGAUGUUGCCUCGAGGAUUUUGGGCCUCAGCAGUCUAUAGGCCAUGGAAAUGGAAAACGUCUGUUUGCAGUGACCAGAGGAUUUCGCUUAUGAGAUUGAUGCACCUUGAAAUUCUCUGUCAGUCUUGUCAUGAACAUAUGCAUUAGUGUGCAUCCUGGUUUUUCUUCUUCUUUUUUUUUGUGCUCACACGACAGCUUUCUUCUGUCUGGAUCUGUUUUUAACAUGCCAGUUUUACUUUUAUGCAUUUGCCAGAUCCUCUUAUCCAAAUAGACUUAAAUUGCAUUCAAGGUCCACAAGUUAUCAGUUCAUGCGUUCCCUGGAAAUUGAACCAAUGUUCUGAAGCAGCGUGCUUUAUUGUUUGAACUACAGGAAAGGCAAGCUGGAAUUGAAAAGCUUCACCGGCUUCAUACUUUGUGGUUCUUGCUUUCCAAUUGCAAAUUAAGGUGAGACAUUCAACAUUGAGAUCCAUUGAGAUGAGAGCAGUGAAUCACUGUGAAAGAAUUAUGGCUUUCUGCUCAGUAGGCUGCCUAAAAAGAACAAAGGUCUCUCUGAGUUCACACACUUUCUCAGACAAUUGGCCCAUAAGCCAGUGCACAUUGUUAUGCAGCAUAAGGUUAUAAUGUUUUGCAUUUCCUAAAACGAGACUGAAGAGAAGUUGAUAAGUGAUGUUAUAGGCUGGAAAUUUUAUGAACCAUGUCACGGUAUCCAUGGUGUCUUUUAUUUUCUAGCUCAUUUUGGCACACUACACUGAUUUAUCAAUAAUGCAGUGAAAUGCUAUUAGCACUGGGAGUGCAGCAGUUAGUCUGCUUAACAGACCCUUGUGUUGUCCACCCACAGAGCUCCAUCAAUAACAGUCAUGCCUUUUCCAAGGCUAAGUUAUUUAUUUAAUUUAUCUUUUAAAUUCUCACAUGUCAUACAAACCUCCAUAAGAAUUUACUUCUAUAGAACACGAAGAUGUUUUGCAAAAUGUACAAGCUGCUUUUUUCCAGUGGAGUAAACUGUGACCAGUGGCAAUCAAGCUACAAAAAACACAAUAAAUGCAGUCAAUAAGACUUCUUUUUGUAGUCUUAUAAAUUCAUACUAUAUCUUUGGAAACUCGACUCAAAUCUGAAGUUAUUGUUUCCCAAAAAUGUUAUUCUCCGCCAUAGUUCUGAAAUUGU